rnacentral:rRNA from 1 species
UACGGGGGGGCAAGCGUUGUUCGGAAUUACUGGGCGUAAAGGGCGCGUGGGCGGUUUGCUAAGUUGAAUGUGAAAACUCUGGGCUUAACCCAGAGCCUGCAUUCAAUACUGGCAGGCUGGAGUUCUGGAGGGGAUAGCGGAAUUCCUGGUGUAGCGGUGAAAUGCGUAGAUAUCCGGAGGAACACCGGUGGCGAAGGCGGCUUCUGGACCGACACUGACGCUGAGGCGCGAAAGCUAGGGGAGCAAACG